rnacentral:lncRNA from 1 species
GGGAUGUGGGGCAGGGUGAGGCUUUCUGCAUGGAAUAAUGAUAAUGAUAGUCCUGAUGGCAUGAUGGUUUGAAUCAUGGCAUAGUUUCAAAACUGAUUCUCCCAGUGGCCUUUCAGGGAGCUUUCCUAAGAGCUGGCUGCACGAAGCCUCUCCAAUGACUGACCUUCUACUUCUGGCAGAGUUUGUCCGAGAUCGUCCUUCCGACUGCUAUACCCAGGGUCACCCCGAUUUCUCCUAGGAACAAGUCUGUCCAGCUGGCUAUGGGUCCGCUGGCAUUAUCUAUAAGUCAUUUCUACCUCCUGGAUUGGGAUUUCCAGUACCUACCUGGAAGCCAAGUCUGCCGGGCCACUGAGCUGUGGAAACACAAUGAUUUUGCAAGUGCUCUGGCCUUGGCUAGCUCCUUCCUCAGCCUUUUACAUCCUCCUCUUCUCCAGGGUCUGGUGAAUGUACUUUCCGGGUUGCCUAAGAUCUGACGAGAGAGGAGGCAGGGGAGGGUAUCUCCUUCCUUCCAUAGAGAAUAUAUAUGGAGCUCACAUGAGACCAUGUAGAUUCCCUUAAGCAUAGCCCUUGCCAUUGCCAAGCCUUUACAGUAGCUGAUCAGUUUAUGGGGUUAUGUCUCACAGCUGGUGCUUACUUGACGACCUGCUCUGGGAAAGCCAACUUUACUGGUCCAGUCCCUGCUCCUGGAAGUGAUCACUCUUGUAUAUGUGCAGCACGAUUUUCAGCAUUUUAAAAAUGGGAUUUACUAAACUCACCCAUGCCCUAGAGGUUCAGAAACUACUGACAUAUGACAUCUGUUGUUUUUGUUUGUUUGUUGUUUUGUUUUUGUUUUGCAUGUACAGUGAAGCCAGAGAUGUGAUGGUUUAUGCCCCUGCUUGAAAAAUGGUGUUAUAUGAAGGCCUGGCUGAAACCGAGGCAAAGGAGUCCCAUUUUGCCAUCUGUCACACUGACUAUAAAUUAGCUGAGCAGUCUCUAAAAAUACCUCUCCUGAGUUAAUGACAUGACCUUGACAUUUGGGGAACUGAGUGCAUCCCAAAUCCUUGUUGAAAAAACAGGACUGCAGAGCUGUAGCGGAAGGAAAUGGUUACGUGUUCCCAGCUCCCUUUAAAUACCUGCAGGAGAAGAAGACGAUGGCAGUACCUGCUGCUGGUAACAGUUACUGCGUAGUUCUCUGUGCCAGACACCGAGGCAGUUCCCUUUCCUGCAGGGCAUUUGCUCAUGGAAUCUGUGCAUCUGCCUCUCACAACUGAACCCCAAACAGGCCUCUUUUAGGUGAACAUUUUGGACUAAGGUUAGAGAGAUACAUAUCUUUGUGUCCCUGUAGUCUAGCCUAGAAUCAGACAAAGUAUGGGAAAUUAACACAAAGUUGUUGUUUUGUUUUGUUUUGUUUUGUUUUGUUUUGUUUUGUUUCGUUCUUUAAAUGGAUUAGUUGGUUGAGAGGUAAGAGGUAAAUUUUUCUGGAGGCAAGUUGGGCACAGAUUUUGAAAGUGAUAAAGCUUGAGAUCAUUGUACCUUGGAGAAAAUAUCACACAGUAAUGGCUUGCCUGUGUCCUCACCCCUGGAUAGCUAUGAGUUCAUGGAGAAAGAGACUCCAGGGUUUUAUUUACAGCUAUAGAACAAAUCACCACAAUAGAGGAAUUUCAAAUGCUCAUUAGAUUCUGCAGGUCAGAAGUCCCUGCAUCAUUGCUCAUCAGAGUCUCAGGAGGCAGAAAAAGGGCUUCUGCAAGGCUGAUCCUCAUCUGAGCCUUUGGAUCCUCUUGCUAGAUCAUGGUUGUAGCAAAAAUCAUUUCCCAGGGGUUGUAGGAUUGAGACCCUGCUCUCUUUCUGGCUGGCAACUAAUGUUCAUUUUUCAUCAGGGGGACACUAAGGGACUUUGGCUGUAGCUUGUAUUAUCUCUAUGAUAUGACUGUAUGUUCUUUUAUUGCUCUGAUCUAUCUAUUUUUGAAAUUAGGGAAGACCCACCCAUCAUAGCAUCCUUUGAGAUUAAUUCAAAAUCAACUUGACCCUAAUUGGACCUGUAAAGUUCUUUCAACCAUGCAAAGCAUAUUAGUUGUAGAAGGCUGGCCUAUCAAAGUCUCAGACAUGCCCACUCUAAGGUAGGGCAUUGUAUAGGGCAUACAUGCUAAGCAUAGGGAGUCCUAUGGGAUUGUCUUACAAGCCUGCCUAUGGCAGGGACCAUACAAUUUCAUUACUAUGUCUUCCAGGCAUGUCACAGGGGACAAAGUCCAUUGUUUUAAGUUCCAAGAAGGUUCCUGGAUAUGAAGCACAGGAAUGAACCCAGAUGAUGGGUCAGGAACAAAGACCCAAACUCAUUGUACCAAGUUUUUUUGUUUUUUGUUUUUGUUUUUGUUUUGUCAAAUACUCAAGGAAUUGUUAGCUUCUUAAAAGCAUCUUUGUAAAGUGAUAUGACAGGGCUUUCUAGGGAGAAUUUUGGAAAACAAUAUUUCAUACACCCUGGAUUGGAGAUGAUCUCUGAGUUUAAUACAUGACAAUUACAACAAAACACAGAUAUACCCAUACUUUAAUAAUACUUAUGUAUAUUUUAUUAAUAAUACUUUUACAAACAUUUAUAAAUAUGUUUGUAGCCUAUAUGCGAUGUCUUAUAGCCUUUGGUAUAAGCAGAUUGGUAGGUAUAUGAGUAAAUGAGUCCAUUAUUGCUGCUUAAGCCACCCAUCCAGUGAUUUUUGGCAGUCUACUAUUUGUCCUGUGUGUGUUGACCUCUCCUUCCAUCCUGCAGUGGAUGUUGAAGGUAGAACUGAUCAGUUUCAUAGAACUUCUCACAGUGUACACUCACAGCUGAGCUUUGGUUGUACAGAUUUCUGGAUUGGGCUCUCUGGAGUGUUUAUGCUCUUUCUAGGUAGUAAAAGCAGUGGAACUGUGAACUGCUGGCUUAGUCGCUAGAGUGGGAGUCAGACAGCACACCAACGCUUUCCUUGUGGUGUUCUUAUUUUAUUGGAGGACAAUAUGAUACAGAACUGAGGUCACAGUGUUCUAGAGAAAGGAAUAGCCCCAGAUAGGACCAGAGAAGAGAAACAGGCAGGAAAAUCCAGAAACUAGCAAUAACCUGCCAUCUUUAUAUUGGAAUGGAACUGAAGCCUAUCUGAAAUUCAGUCCAGUUCUUAGGUGCAACAAAUAUUGUACACAUUGGUUUGUUCUGAAUCCAGUUUAAGCUGAGUAAAUCCAGUUUAAUCUGGCCCUAAACUUCUGCCUUCCAGAGAGAGGAAAAAACACAAUGGGCUUGGUUUGAAAAGCUGGGAGCAAAUAUUCCCAACUUCAAGAGCACAGAGGAUAGGCUCAACUCCCAAAUGAAAUAUCUUGAAAGGUUUCAUGGAUGGCCAUGGACUGUCACUAAUCAUGGUGAAUCGUUUUUCUGUUUUUUUUUUUUUUCUAAAUCAUUAGAUUAUAGAUGUUUUUGCCCCAGGAUGUAAAAUCAGUACAGUACUAUAUCAAUUAUUUUAGGAGGGGGUCAUACAACAGCAUAUUGUAUACCAUAAAUACACUGUCAUGGCUAAUCUUUACUGCCAACUUAAUUGCGUUUAGGAUCGUCUAGAAGACACACCUUUGGGAUGUCAGUAAGGGUGUCUCCAGAAUUCAAUUGAGAGAGAGGAUCUGCUUUGCAUGUGGGUGGCACCAUAUCACGGGUUGGAAAAAGGC